GUCUUGGUGGAGUGGUCUAACACGCAGGAUUUAGGAGGUGCGCUCAGGGCGCCCGCCACCUUCCUGUCCGCAAGGGCGCGGGUUCGAAUCCCGCAGAC
rnacentral:ncRNA from 15 species